rnacentral:rRNA from 1 species
AUUGAACGCUGGCGGCAGGCCUAACACAUGCAAGUCGAGCGGUUGACGGGAGCUUGCUCCCUGAUUCAGCGGCGGACGGGUGAGUAAUGCCUAGGAAUCUGCCUAUUAGUGGGGGACAACGUUUCGAAAGGAACGCUAAUACCGCAUACGUCCUACGGGAGAAAGCAGGGGACCUUAGGGCCUGCGCUAAUAGCUGAGCCUAGGUCGGAUUAGCUUGUUGGUGAGGUAAUGGCUCACCAAGGCGACGAUCCGUAACUGGUCUGAGAGGAUGAUCAGUCACACUGGAACUGAGACACGGUCCAGACUCCUACGGGAGGCAGCAGUGGGGAAUAUUGGACAAUGGGCGAAAGCCUGAUCCAGCCAUGCCGCGUGUGUGAAGAAGGUCUUCGGAUUGUAAAGCACUUUAAGUUGGGAGGAAGGGUUGUAGAUUAAUACUCUGCAAUUUUGACGUUACCGACAGAAUAAGCACCGGCUAACUCUGUGCCAGCCGCCGCCGUAA